CCGACUCUCGUUGAGUUUUGGAGAGAUAAGUACUUUGGGGCCAUUGAUGUUUUAGGUGUGAUAGUGGCGAGAUCAGGACGAGUGAAGGGCUAUUCAUAGUAAAGCCAAUAUAAGGUUUCGUAAGUGAGAUUGAGGAAACUUUCGGCAGGCAUGAUCAGGAAAUGAAGUACUAGGAAGUGUGUUUGGGCUUAAAGGCACUAUCAGGCUUCCCACACCACUUUCCAGUCAUCCCGCAUAGUGCCUUAGGUUGGAACUGGCGUGUAUACUGAUAGCAAUAAUGGAGAAGAAGUAUAUGGAAGAUAUUGACACAAUUUUUACAUGAUAUGAAAUGGA